CCAAUGUGGAUACCCUGGGAGGUCACGCUCCCAGGGGCCGUCCGGGUGGUGUAGGGGCAGCACAGUGUUCUGCUUAAUGAUGUGUAGUUCUUUCCACUUCAUUAGAGAGAAAGUCAGGCCUUGAGUCUGCUAUUUCUACGGCUUCUCAGAGUCCUGUGGACAGUGUCUGAGGAGACAAACCAUGCAGGAAGCAUCC